AAGUAGUUUUCAUCCGAUCUUCACCAAACUUGGUCAGAAGUUGUAUCUAGAUGAUGUCUAGGCCAAGUUCGAACAUGGGCCUUGCCGGGUCAAAAACUAGGUCACGGGGUCACUUAGUGCGUUUUAAACAUUCAGCAUGUUGUCCGCUCUCUAAUUCAAGUAGUUUUCAUCCGAUCUUCACCAAACUUGGUCAGAAGUUUUAUCUAGAUGAACUGAAGGCCAAGUUUGAACAUGGGCCAUGCUAGAUCAAAAACUAGGUCACUAAGUACGUUUUACACAUUGAGCAUGGUGUCUGCUCUCUAAUUCAAGUAGUUUAAAUCCGAUCUUCACCACACUUGGUCAGAAGUUGUAACUAAAUGAUGUGUAGGUCAAGUUGGAACAUGGGCCAUGCCGGGUCAAAAAUUAGGUCACGGGGUCACUUAGUAUGUUUUAAACCUCACCAUGUUGUCCGCUCUCUAAUUCGAGUAGUUUUUAUCCAAUCUUCACCAAACUUGGUCAGAAGUUGUAUCUAGAUGAUGACUAGGUCAAGUUUGAAUAUAGGUCAUUCCGGGUCAAAAACUAGGGCACGGGGUAUCUUAGUGCGUUUUAAACCUCACCAUGUUGUCCGCUCUCUAAUUCAAGUAGUUUUCAUCCAAUCCUCACCAAACUUGGUCACAAGUUUUAUCUAAAAAUCUAGGACAAGUUUGAACAUGGGCCAUUCCGGGCCUUAAGCUAGGUCACGGGGUCACUUAGUGCGUUUUUCAACAUUCAGCAUGGUGUCCGCUCUCUAAUUCAAGUAGUUUACAUCCGACCUUCACCAAACUUGGUCAGAAGUUUUAUGGAGAUGAUCUUAAGGCCAAGUUAGAACAUGGGCCUUUCUGUGUCAAAAACUAGGUCAAGGGGUCACUAAGUGCGUUGUAAAAAUUGAGCAUUAUGUCCGAUGUUUUUU